GGGGAUUUAGCUCAUUGGUAGAGCGCUUGCCUAGCAAGCGCAAGGCCCUGGGUUCAGUCCCCA
rfam:Rattus norvegicus chromosome 8, whole genome shotgun sequence.